UUCAAUCCCAACUUUGAUGAGUCCUAGUACGCAAGGAAUGGUCUCAGCGAUGCUCGACUAUAUUGGCCCCAUCGACGUAAUAAACUUCUGGCUGCUGCAAAGAAGGAGAACAAAAGGUUUAGGGAUUAAUAAGGUAUAUGUGGGUGCAUAGCCCCCAGUACCCU
rnacentral:rRNA from 1 species